ACAGCAGCAGCCGCGGGAAUACAGAGGGUGCAAGCGUUAAUCGGAAUUACUGGGCGUAAAGCGCGCGUAGGUGGUUUGUUAAGUUGGAUGUGAAAUCCCCGGGCUCAACCUGGGAACUGCAUCCAAAACUGGCAAGCUAGAGUAUGGUAGAGGGUGGUGGAAUUUCCUGUGUAGCGGUGAAAUGCGUAGAUAUAGGAAGGAACACCAGUGGCGAAGGCGACCACCUGGACUGAUACUGACACUGAGGUGCGAAAGCGUGGGGAGCAAACAGGAUUAGAUACCCCUGUAGUCCCUGUCUCUUAUAC
rnacentral:rRNA from 1 species